rnacentral:lncRNA from 1 species
GCUGAAGAACAGCUGUUCUGGCUCCUCCUGAGGUGGAGGUCCACUUUGUUUUUCGGUUGCUUUGUGGUGCUGGGGAUAGAGCCCAGGGCCUUAUGCAUGCGAGGCAAGUGUGGCCCCGGCACCCAGCACUGCUGGUGAAAAUCUGAAAUGAAGGUGCUGUUCUUGUGCCCGGGGCAUUCUGGAGCAGGUGGAGCAUAAGCCAGAGUCCCCGCAGAAGGGCUCUGCCUGAUGGACAAGUGGCUUAGGAGGUUCAUGCGUACGUUCACGCGCAUAUGUGGUCCGGUGCUCAGCAGCGGCAACUGUUCAGCUGUCGUUCCUAAGACUUCAUUUAUUUAUUUAUUUGUUUAUUUUGGGGACAGAUACUGGGGAUUGAACUCGGCGGGCACCUGACCACUUAGCCACAUCCCCAUCCCUAUUUUGUACUUUAUUUAGAGACAGUGUCUCACCUCCCCGCUGCUGAGGGUGUUUUGAACUCGAGAUCUUCCUGCCUCAGCCUCCUGAGCCACUGGGAUUAUAGGUGUGCACCACUGCAACCAUCCAAGAUUUUAUUUUAGAAAAUUUUGGUUUUAGUUAGGCACUGUAGUGAAUGCCUUUCAUCCCAGCAACUGGGGAGGCUGAGGCCGGAGGAUGGUAAGUUCGAGA